rnacentral:rRNA from 1 species
UGCCCUAGUAACGGCGAGUGAAGCGGCAAGAGCUCAGAUUUGAAAUCUGGCGCCUUCGGCGUCCGAGUUGUAAUCUGUAGAGGAUGCUAUUGGGUAGCCACCGGUCUAAGUCCCCUGGAACGGGGCGUCGCAGAGGGUGAGAAUCCCGUAUGUGACCGGAAGGGCGCCCUCCACAUAGCUCCUUCGACGAGUCGAGUUGUUUGGGAAUGCAGCUCUAAAUGGGAGGUAAAUUCCUUCUAAAGCUAAAUACCGGCCAGAGACCGAUAGCGCACAAGUAGAGUGAUCGAAAGAUGAAAAGCACUUUGGAAAGAGAGUUAAAAAGCACGUGAAAUUGUUGAAAGGGAAGCGCUUGCAACCAGACUUGUUGGCGGUGUUCCGCCGGUCUUCUGACCGGUGUACUCACCGUCUGCAGGCCAGCAUCAUCUGGGGCCGCCGGAUAAAAGCGGGGGGAAUGUGGCUCCCUCGGGAGUGUUAUAGCCCCUCGUGCAAUACGGCGUGCCUCGGGUGAGGUCCGCGCUUCGGCUAGGAUGCUGGCGUAAUGGUCGUAAGCGGCCCGUCUUGAAACACGGACCAAGGAGUCUAACAUCUAUGCGAGUGUUCGGGUGUCAAACCCCUACGCGUAAUGAAAGUGAACGGAGGUGGGAGCCUUAGGGUGCACCAUCGACCGAUCCUGAUGUCUUCGGAUGGAUUUGAGUAAGAGCAUAGCUGUUGGGACCCGAAAGAUGGUGAACUAUGCCUGGAUAGGGUGAAGCCAGAGGAAACUCUGGUGGAGGCUCGCAGCGGUUCUGACGUGCAAAUCGAUCGUCAAAUUUGGGUAUAGGGGCGAAAGACUAAUCGAACCAUCUAGUAGCUGGUUCCUGCCGA